AUCCGCUCCAUGCUUCCGCAGCCAAUCCGCCUCGUCCCACUCCCGCCCCAGCCGCCACACAAACCCUAGCCCUCUUUUCCCUCGAUCCCCAUGAGCCACCGCACCCCUCCCUCGAUCCCCAGUUCCCCAUGAUCCUCUCCUAGCCCGCAGCCACCGGCCUUGUCUCUCCACUCGCCUCCUCCUUUCCUCUACCAUGUCGUCGUCGCUCCCACCACCGUCCUUCUCCUCUGCUUGCCUCAUCGGGUCCUCUUCCAUGCCACCUGUCUAUCCAGAGCGGCGGCGGGGUCUUCGAGCUGCAGGGAAGAUGGAAGAGGCCGGCGACAUGCGGGACGAGCAGGUCGGCCCUGGUUCAUCGUGAAGGCGCAUCCGACACCGCUCUCCAUGUCGUUUCUCCUCCCUUUCUUCCCUGAAGAAGCCCGCAAGAGCAGUGAACCAUGGAGGAUUUGGGGGCUGCUCAGGUUUGGAGCAGCAAACCAUGGAGGAUAUGGGCGCUGCACGAGCUUGGAGCAGCAAGCCAUGGCAACAAAGGAUGAUAUUUCCUUGCUGGUUAGACAACAUAUGGGAUAAGGAUGUGUAUGUUGCUGAUUUUGGUGGUUUGGACAUGGAUUUGAGGGUGGAGAAGGGCCACAGGAAGGGUAUUCGGUGGAGGGAGACGUCCAGGACCAGAAGUGUGAAUUAAAUGCACACUAACUGUUUGGUGAAAUGCAGGCAUUGAUAUAUUUCUAUUUGUGCCCAUGCUAGGCAAUAUAAGGUCUUUAAUGCAUGCAUUAUCCCAUCUUCAGCUGAGUAUCCAGUUGAGCAUAAGCACAACCUUGCUGAGGUCAGUUAAAAAGGGCAGAGCCUUAGCCUUGGUUCUGCAGGAGGGAAACAAAAGAUUAUUUGUUUAUUUUUAUGCCUACUAUAGAUCGUGUUUGUUGUUUACAAUGCCCACUUUUUAAUGGAACACAUUUAGAGUGCAUUGAAUGGAAAAUUCUACUCUUUAGUCUGUAAAGAGUUGCAAGGAGAAGGACAAUAUCUUGGUUGAUGCCAUCAGUGAGAUUUAGCCCUUAUUUUGAGCCCUUAUUUUGCAUUUGCUUCGCUUCUCUAAAGAUUUGUUCCUACUGCAGGAGAGACGUGAGGGUUGGUUGGUUGCAUUCGUGUUGCUGAUCCGGACAGCGGCGAGGAAGGCAAGCAACAGCGGGGAAUGAGCAGGUGAGCGAUCCUAGCGUGGGGAAGGGGCAGGGUGGGGCCUCGCGCACCUGCCGGCUGCCGGCGGGAGCUUGAGCUCGAGACGAUGGAGGUGCUAAGGCGGGGCAGGAGAGGACGGCUCGCCGACGAGCUCGAGUUGGAGGCGGUGAGAUCUUUUCCUUCAUGGCUUCCCACCCGCUGAGCUCGUUGGUCCUCCUCCCUCCCCGUGCGGUGGCCUCGUCCUUCGUCGCUCGACUUACCAUCUACCCCUGGUACGCCUCCAUCCUUUGUCCCUUGCUCCGUGGCCCGGAUGUCGAGGGAGGGCGAGAGGUGGUGAUAUGCAGAGGUGAGGGAGAUGGAGGCGGUUACCUGCAGCUCCUAUUGAAGGGGUGGAGAAGAGGGGGUGCUCGUGUGGAAGAACAGUUUUAGGUUCUCUCUUUACGUGUUUAUUUCUUGUCAUUGGUCUUGAUUUCCUGAUAUACGAUUUACCUAAAGACCACAAUCUUCCAGAUUUGAGAAAGAAGAUGAACAGAAGAAUCCAAUAGAAGAUUUGGUGAAGAACAAGGUUACUUGGCUUCUUCUUUCAACCAAUCUGUUAAAAUUAUAGUGCAUUUUUUGUGGGGCAGGUUAAAGAGCCCAUGUUAUUUUGCUUGGCUUAUAUUCAGAAGGGACAAUACAAUGCUCUUUGGAGUCAAGUUACCUCAUAUACUGGUGGUCAGUAAACCAACUACUAAGAAGGAUUGGCUACAUAAAGCAUUGACCUUGUGGGGUAUGUCAAGGUGUAGGUGCAGACUCAUUGUUGAUGUUGAAUACUGGAGUAAGAAUGAUGAUCAGUGCUCUGACCGUGCUGCUGGAGAUAAUGAUGCGAGCUCGACCAGUUCAUGAUUUUAUUUCUGUACGCCUACAAGGUGUUCGACGAAAAUCCCAGAAGGCUGGCAGGGGAAGAAUGAUUUAUUCUGUACAAUCUCGAAGACUGCUGCUUCUUUGGUCUGUUCACCAAGUCAUGCAUACCCACUUAAGAAUGAACAAGGCUAAGCUGCAGCUGCAGCUGCAGCUGCAUGUAUAUCUCCUUACAAUACCCAUGGUGUCAGACAUGUUUUAUUCCACUGCUACCAAGAAGAUAAAUGCGGCAGCUGAGCCUAUAGUUCCUGCUGAGGAACACCCCAAGGUUGACAGUGACACUGCAGAUGGAGCUUCUCUAACCGCUAUCGAAGACACCGUUGUUCAUUUUAACCAGCCAAUAUGGAAGAAAAGAAGACGGAGCCAUAAACAAAAAUGACUCUGGAUAUAUCAUAUUUUCCUUUAUAACCCCUUUUCACUGGUUAGGCCCUGCCCAGCAAACGUCUGUCGGCCGCAUGAGCUCCAUACCCAUGUUGAUUUCUGGACCCAAAUUCUAAUGGGUCUCUUGCAGGCGACGUGAAGAUUUUGCCUAUUCUCUAAGAUGGAUGAUGAUGAGCGGUGCAAUCGAAAAUUCAGAGCUGGGCUUUACACACUUCAGUGGGAGUAGCAUGGCAACACCAAGGUAGAGACCUGAAGAGAAGCAAGGGGAUGGACCAAGGAAACUAGAACCGUGCUGUCGUGAUGUGGGUCGUGUCGUCUUUGUCCAUCUCCAUGGAGGUAUAUAUACAUAGGUUAGGUAUAGGAAAGGAGACCAUCUCCAUGGAAUUCUGAGUGAUGUGUAAUGUCCUCAUAGGACCGGACCGUUUACAGAGGGAGUACUUGAAAAUAGAUUCUUUAUAUAUUGUUUGGUUCCAUCAGCCGCAUAACCUAAAUUAGCAAUUAGCUAUCUAAACAGUGUAGUGUAACCAUUGUGCUUGCUGCAGUUACUUUAGUGUUGAAAUGUUUAUGUUAGCUUGUUCUGCACUACGAAAUAUUUUUGUUUUCCCAGC